rnacentral:tRNA from 1 species
CCUUCGAUAGCUCAGUUGGUAGAGCGGUGGACUGUAGAGAAUUUGGAGCGUGUACGAUCAAGUAGUAAAAGUGAUCAAAAACCUCCAAUCAUCAAUAGUGUAGUAAUCCAUAGGUCACUGGUUCAAAUCCGGUUCGAAGGA